UAGGGAAUCUCCACAAUGGACGCAUGUCUGAUGGAGCAACGCCGCGUGAGUGAAGAAGGUUUUCGGACCGUAAAGCUCUGUUGUUGGUGAAGAAGGAUAGAGGUAGUAACUGGCCUUUAUUUGACGGUAAUCAACCAGAAAGUCACGGCUAACUACGUGCCAGCAGCCGCGGUAAUACGUAGGUGGCAAGCGUUGUCCGGAUUUAUUGGGCGUAAAGCGAGCGCAGGCGGAAGAAUAAGUCUGAUGUGAAAGCCCUCGGCUUAACCGAGGAAUUGCAUCGGAAACUGUUUUUCUUGAGUGCAGAAGAGGAGAGUAGAACUCCAUGUGUAGCGGUGGAAUGCGUAGAUAUAUGGAAGAACACCAGUGGCGAAGGCGGCUCUCUGGUCUGCAACUGACGCUGAGGCUCGAAAGCAUGGGUAGCGAACAGGAUUAGAUACCCUGGUAGUCCAUGCCGUAAACGAUGAGUGCUAAGUGUUGGGAGGCUUCCGCCUCUCAGUGCUGCAGCUAACGCAUUAAGCACUCCGCCUGGGGGAGUACGACCGCAAGGUUGAAAC
rnacentral:rRNA from 1 species